UGAAAGGGAAAAUGAUAUUGUCAUUCGAGGAAGCUAACAUUCUUUCUCAAAAGUGCAGGGUUUCCUUUGUUUUUGCUUGGCCACUAAACUGCACGCCACUAUGUCCUUUGUAUGUUCUUUUGAAGAAUAGAUGUUUCCUGCUUACUGUACAUCAUGCUACGACUACACGCAUGUGGUAAGUUGUUUAGCAAGAAGGCAACUCAAAUUACUUUCAGUACUCUUCAGUGCAGAUCGGUAAGUUAUUUAUCUUACUUUCACUUUUAAAUUGUUUGCUGAAUCACUACAUGCAUGUGGUCCCUACUGCAUUUCUCUUAAUUAUAAGAUGUUAUCAUUAGGUUUUGAGAGUGGAUUUUCUACUCUAGGGUGUACUACACCUGAGUAUGCAAACAAUUGGAAAAACGUGAUCAAACAAAGUCGAAAAUAUCUGAAAAUUUUAGACAUUAGACUUUAUCACACAUUUCAUGGUUUUGUAACUUAUGACUUGGAAGUUUUUUGGCAUGAAAGUGGCAAAGUCCUUUCAUUUUCCUUCUGUACUGUAACAUUUGACAGAAAGUACCCUGUCCGUUUCUUUUUAGUCCGCAUAUAAGAUUUGGUCAAAGUCAAACUUUGUAAAGUUUGACCAACUUUGUAGAAGAAAAUAUCAACAUCUACAAUACUAAGGCUAUAUAGUAUGAAAAUUAAUUUUAUGAUGCAUCUAACAAUAUUGAUCUAAUAUUGUGAAUCUUGAUAUUUUUUUCUAUAAACUUAGUCAAAGUUAACAAAGUUUGACUUUGACCAAAUUUUAUAUGCAGACUAAAAAGAAUGGAGGGAGUAUGUGUUGUGUUGUUCUCACUGGGCUGGCACAGUUACAGCCAAAGGCUAUGUUUACAAAAAGAAAUUAAUGAUUCAAAGAAGAGGAGCAGAGGGUGUACGAUAUUUACCUCAAGGUGAUGAAUCACUGAAUCGAGGGACUUAUUUUUCGGUGACGCCAGCAGGCCAUUCCAUUUCCUGCAUUUCCUCUUCAGUAUGCUGACUCCGAUCUCCAAAAUUUUGGAUGCUUAUUUAGUAGUCUAUUUAAAUGGGCAAUUGUUUUUACCGGUUGGUACACGUUUUCUUUCAAUAUGCACUCUCAUAUACUUUUUCUGUUCUGGAAAGUGAUUUAUUGAUGGCACAUGGGAAUCAUUGAAACAAUGUUUUCUCAUCAAGGAUUGGACUGUGUUCUCAUUGUAGAACAUAAUUUAUUAUGUGAGGCAUUUGCCAUUGCAACAUCUUGUGCAGGGUAUAUUUUUUCCACUAAACUGAACAUAAAUAAAUGACAUCUGCUUGGGCAAUAGGUCGUGCAAGCAUCGCCUCCUCCCGGUCUUCGGCACUCCUGGAGGAAUUGAGCGCCAGUGUGGUCGAGCCACAUAGAACACCAACAAGUGACAACACACCAUCCCGUAAGUUAUUUUGGCUGAUGUUUCGAUAAAUUUGAAAGUGGAGAUCUGCAUGUGUAUAUAACAUAUUCUUGUCCUUGUGGAAAUUCAAGUUGCUAUUCUUCAUAGCAUUAAACACGCCGAAUUUUACAAGAAUAUUGAUAGAAGGAUUCUAUAAAUUUAUUUAUGACUUUAUGAUCUUGUUUUUAUUAUAGUUUAUGGUUUAAUUUGUACCUUGCAAACUGUGCAAGUAAAAUAUCACUUAUUUAAGAGCCAGAGAGUGUUGUUAAAAUGUGGCUGAUUACCUUUUAAAUGUUUUACAGGAUUCAUUGAUAUAUGUGUAUAGUUCCAUGUCUACUUGAUUCUUUUAUACAGAGUCUGGGGAAUGACAAGAACGUGGCUUGGUUUACAUGAUGUUCAUACUACGGAUUGUGGAGGCAUGGUUUCCGUCAAGGAGUGGUGGCGCAGCAACGCUUCCGGGAGGUCGCAAUCUCGAACGGCCCUUGUUUUCCUUAUGCUUCUUAUCUAUUGGGAAAUCUAGAACGAGCGAAAUGCUCGGGUGUUCCGCAACAACGCGAUUCCGUCCGGUGUGCUUGUGACACACAUAGAAGCGGAGGCAUCGUUGUGGUGCCUUGCCGAGCGAAAUAUCUGUGUAAUAAUGCUGCGAGAGCGAUGCUUGUAAUUUGGCCUUUGACCUAGAUUCUUAAAACCUUCUUAUUAUUAAACGAAAUGCCAAGCAUUUUGACUUCUUUUAAUAAAAAAUAUGGACCCGGAUGGAGCGAAAUGUUUAAUAU
rnacentral:lncRNA from 1 species